GUCAAAUAACCUAUCGAAAGUGU
rnacentral:siRNA from 1 species